rnacentral:rRNA from 1 species
UACAGAGGUCCCAAGCGUUGUUCGGAUUCACUGGGCGUAAAGGGUGCGCAGGUGGUCGGGUAAGUCUGAUGUGAAAUCUCGGGGCUCAACCCCGAAACUGCAUUUGAUACUGCCUUGCUCGAGUACUGGAGAGGAGAUUGGAAUUUACGGUGUAGCAGUGAAAUGCGUAGAUAUCGUAAGGAAGACCAGUGGCGAAGGCGAAUCUCUGGACAGUUACUGACACUGAGGCACGAAGGCCAGGGGAGCAAACGGG